CGACCGGCGCACGGGUGCGUAACGCGUAUGCAAUCUACCUUAUACUGGGGGAUAGCCUUUAGAAAUGAAGAUUAACACCCCAUAGUAUAUAGAUAUGGCCUCAUAUUUAUAUUAAAGGCUACGGUAUAAGAUGAGCAUGCGUCCUAUUAGCUAGUUGGUAUGGUAACGGCAUACCAAGGCGACGAUAGGUAGGGGCCCUGAGAGGGGGAUCCCCCACACUGGUACUGAGACACGGACCAGACUCCUACGGGAGGCAGCAGUGAGGAAUAUUGGACAAUGGUGGGAACACUGAUCCAGCCAUGCCGCGUGCAGGAAGACUGCCCUAUGGGUUGUAAACUGCUUUUGUAUAGGAAGAAUAAGGUGUACGCGUACACUGAUGACGGUACUAUACGAAUAAGCAUCGGCUAACUCCGUGCCAGCAGCCGCGGUAAUACGGAGGAUGCAAGCGUUAUCCGGAAUCAUUGGGUUUAAAGGGUCCGUAGGCGGGUAAUUAAGUCAGGGGUGAAAGUUUUCGGCUCAACCGGAAAAUUGCCUUUGAUACUGGUUAUCUUGAAUUACUAUGAAGUGGUUAGAAUAUGUAGUGUAGCGGUGAAAUGCAUAGAUAUUACAUAGAAUACCGAUUGCGAAGGCAGAUCACUAAUAGUACAUUGACGCUGAUGGACGAAAGCGUGGGUAGCGAACAGGAUUAGAUACCCUGGUAGUCCACGCUGUAAACGAUGGUCACUAGCUGUAUGGGCGCAAGCCUGUGUGGCUAAGCGAAAGUGAUAAGUGACCCACCUGGGGAGUACGUUCGCAAGAAUGAAACUCAA
rnacentral:rRNA from 1 species